AGCUUUGCACAGUGGUAAUAUCGUAGCCAAUGAGGUUUAUCCGAGGUGUGAUUAUUGCUAAAAGAAGUCACUAAAACUCUAAGAGCAAAAACUAACAAUUUCUGUAUAUCCUUAAGAAAAAAAACAAUGUGGAGGA
rnacentral:snRNA from 1 species